GCUUAGCCAAACAUGCCCAAACUGAUACGUAACAAUGGUAUUCGAGCAAUCAUCCUCUUGACUUGUGGGUGGGUUUGGCAGCAAUAAUAUCAUUACAAUCGUGAGUAAUCCCUGGAAUUAGGGCUACAAAAUCAACGGUCUUGAUUUGGUUUCUAGAAUUGGGCUUUGUAGAAGAAAUUUACUGGAAUCAACGGUUCGGUUCGAUUCGACAAACAACAAAUCCAAUUCCGAAUCAAUUUUAUUCAAGAACUGCACCAUUUGAAGUAUAAAUCAUUUCUGGGUUUCAAGUUCAGCAACAAAUCAACAUGGAAUUCGCAUUGGAGAAGAUUAUGGCAAUUAGCCAAGAAGGUAUUGUUAAAGAAUAUUGCAAUUGGUUUCAAAUCUUAUUCGAUCAGGUUAAAAAUCUGGAAGAAAUGUCUGAAUUCUACGCUAUAUACAUAUUCAUCUGUGGUUUAGAACCUGGAAUUAGGAAAAUAUUUGCUAAAUGGCAUCAAUAUAGUUGCACUAAGGUGAAAGAUAUUGUUUGAUUUGGUGUUGUGUAUGUUGAUCAUUGGCUCGCUCGCUUGUUUGUUUUUUUGUUUGUGUGUUGAUGUUGUAGUGUUUCAUGUGAUUAAUUCGAUCACUUUGUUAAGAAUAUAGAUGAAUUAGUGCAUGGAUGGAGUUAGAUCUAGAAUCUGAAGUCUGAACCAAAACCUAAUUAGUUCAAAAUUAUUGCUUAAUAAACUAUAGAGAUGGAGUUCCACCAAUAUGUCUGAAGUUUUUUAGGUACACUUUGGUAUGGUCUUGCUUUGAUGUGAACUUAUCUGUCUUUACUGAUGGGUGCGAGAUGUAAAUUGAAUAGCUAGUGGCACUUUCAGUCUUUGCCUGUUAGUCGUUCAACGUCUUACAAUUUAGUUUUCUUGCCUGAUGACGGAUUCGGAGCAGCCAUGGCACUUGUCAAGACGGAUGUUGGUGAUAAUAUAACAGUAAGCACUCUUCCUUUCCCUUCAUUUUGAUGCUUGCAAGGGUCAAAGUCUCAGUGCACUUAACACGACAGCCCCUGCAUGCAAGAAUGAUUUCUGCUUCAAUAGAAAAUGGGGGUUUCUUCACUCCCUAUUGAUCCAGCUACUGCCUAGAAAGCUCGUUAAACUACACCAAGACACGAGGGAAGGUGUUGUUAAGCAGACACGCAGAGCGUUCAUCCGAGUCAAAGGUGGCUAAAAGUCAAAUAGUCAAAGCAGCCAGUGGAGAAGGGAUGAUCCUUGUAGAUGAAGGCGUCGACGUUGCAAUCCCGUUUGUGAUCCCAGCUGCUAUCGUCGGGAGAAAAGUAGGAAAAGGAUUUUAUCGUACAUUAACAGCACAAGGAAGCCAACAUCGCCGAUUCACUCAUCGGAGGCUGUUAUAGGAUUGUACCGCAUUUGAUGUUGGUGGCGAAGACUUCUAGAAACCGCUCCUGAGGCGAUCUCCAUCUUCACCGAUCGCUGUUGGCGGAAUUCUCUUACUGAAGUAGUGAAAGAAACAUAAAUGUCUGAUGGUGGUGAUAGCGGAUCAAGGAUCAGGCACGAUGGUGAUUGGGUAACUUGGUGAAACAACAUCAGAUGAAACAUGCUCAUCUUUGACACUUUUUGUUCAAGCAAAUGCUUAAAGUGGCUGAUCUUUUCAUUCAGGGCAACUGAUAAAUAACUUUCUCAACAACAAUGCGAGUCAUUUGAUUGUGUAUGGGGGUAUGUAUUGCUCAUUCAGCGUGUUAUAUAUUUCUGUUAAAACAAGAUUGUGAAUUCAACUGUUGUUGCAUUGCUUGCGAGAUGGUCUAAAAGAUCGCGAACUUUGUGUGUUAUUUCGCAAUGAUCACUUCAGUACGAUGUUCAAGAAUGGUUCUCGCAAUAAAGGUUUCAAAAUCUUAACUCUUUUGUAAAAGGGAACAAUGGUGUACGUUUGUUUUACGGAGGACAAGACUUUGAUAAUGCCAUGUUGGAUCACUUGGUUAGAGAGUUUAAGAAAACAAAGGGAAUAGACUUGACAAAAGACAAGCUUGCCUCUAGAGGCUUAGGAAGCUAUCAAGAAUGCUAAAAUUGAGCUGUCAUCAACAACCUAGACUGAUAAUAACUUGCCAUGUAUCUGGUGCUAAACAUUUGAAUCUCACUCUCACAAGGUCGAAAUUUGAGGCUGCCAACAGCCAGACUCAAGUGUGCAUUAAAGUUGUAAUUCAUAAAAAUAAGUCAAGCAGCUUUUCAUAUAUUAAUAGUGUUUAGAAAUAAAUACAAUUUUUAAGGAA